UAUAAUAUAUAUUUUAGAGCACUGUUUUAUUUCACUCGAAAAACCCAGCAUAAAAACUAUAGAUUUCUUUGUAACAUCUUAUUUUCCUUUAAAUCUUUCACGUUGUAUGUCUGAUUUCAUUAAAAUUAUUCACACUUGAAAUAAUAUUAAUCAUACAAAAUGUCUUUGUCUACUUUUCCACGCACAUUUGGUACAUCUUGUUUACUCCGAAUAGGUCAAACUUGAAAUUAUUCGCAAUGUUUACUAUUUUUUUUAAAAAAUGAUUCAAGCAUUUCCAAAGGAAAUUAAAAAUUCCAUCUUUUACCGCGACAAAAUACAUAUGUCAAAUUAAACUAGGUUAGGUACGCAUCAGAACAAUAAUGUAAAAAUAUUUAGCGAAAUAAUGUUAAGACGUGUCUAUAAAAUUGAUAUGGACGCUAAGAAUUGUACCCUCGUAAACAGAAAUUAAGUUGUUAAACAUUUAAAGGAAAAAUCAAGAUCAAGAGACACCGACUUACAAAAGAAUAGUGAAGAACAGCUUCUGCAAAGGACUUAAACAGGGAACCACACCAAUUACAUGAAUAUGGUUUUUCCACUACAUGCGAUUCCCGAUGGAUUUUUAGAUGAUCCAUGUCUACAAAGUGGCUACUACAGAAUUCACAGUGGUUCCGAAAGCUUCUCCGCAACGAACGCAUCUUUAUAAAAAAUAAAUUGUUUUUAUGCCUUUACAUGGUACAAAGCAUUGUAAUAGAAAAAAAAUAGCCAAAAAUAUACCACCUCCAAAUUGUUUGACUAUUUUCUAAAAUUAUGCUGUGACUGGCUAUAUGUUUAUUCAACCUUGACUUUUGGGUAAAGCUCUUGGAGCAUUCAGGACAUUUGUAUGGCUUUUCUGGAAGAUGAGUUACCACAUGACGCUUUAAGGGGGUGUACCUCAAGUACUUCGGAGUCGAUUACCUCGUUCCUUGGAAAUGAUAAGGGAACAAUUCUUUCAUGGCAAACUAAACUUGAGUCUUUGAACUGUGAAAACAAUUCGACAGAGCGCCUACGUUUAUGCACGUUU